UGUUUGGGGGCCGUGCGUUUGCAGGUUGUAGGUUUGCAAGGUGUGCAUUUGCAGGUUGUAUGUUUGCAAGGCUGUGUGUUUGCGGGGUGUAUGUUUGCAGGCCGUGCAUUUGCGGGGUGUAUGUUUGCAGGCCGUGCGUUUGCAAGGCCGUGCGUUCGCAGGCUGUGCGUUCGCUGCCCCUGCGUUCGCAGCUGCGGCCGCAGCCCCCCGUCUGCCCCUCUGCGGGCACAACCACGGGCUCUCGGGGCCAGCCAUCCCCGCACCCACGCAGCUCCCGCAGGACGCCCCCCCC